AGAAUUAGAAAAAACUACUUUAAAUUUCAUAUGGAACCAAAAAAGAUCAGCAUAGCCAAGACAAUCCUAAGCAAAAAAGAACAAAGCUGAAGGCAUCAUGCUACUGACUUCAAACAAUACUACAAGGCUACAGUAACCAAAACAGUAUGGUAGUUGUACUGGUACCAAAACAGAUAUAUAGACCAAUAGAACAGAACACAGUCUUCAGAAAUAUCACCACACAUCUAAAACCAUCUGAUUUUUGACAAACCUGACAAAAAUAAGCAAUAGGGAAAGAUUCCCUAUUUAAUAAAUGGUACUGGGGAAACUGGCUAGCCAUAUGUAGAAAGCUGAAACUGGAUCCCUUCCUUGCACCUUAUACAAAAAUUAACCCAAGAUGGAUUAAAGACUUAAAUGUUAGACCUAAAACCAUAAAAACCCUAGAAGAAAACCUAGGCAAUACCAUUCAGGACAUAGGCAUGGGCAAAGACUUCAUGACUAAAACACCAAAAGCAAUGGCAACAAAAGCCAAAAUUGACAAAUGGGAUCUAAUUAAACUAAAGAGCUUCUGCACAGCAAAAGAAACUAUCAGCAGAGUGAACAGGCAACCUACAGAAUGGGAGAACAUUUUUGCAAUCUAUCCAUCUGACAAAGGGCUAAUAUCCAGAAUCUACAAAGAACUUAAACAAAUUUACAAGAAAAAAACAACCCUAUCAAAAAGUGGGCAAAGGAUAUGAACAGACACUUCUCAAAAGAAGACAUUNNNNNNNNNNAAUUCAACUUACAAGGGAUGUGAAAGACCUCUUCAAGGAAAACUACAAACCACUGCUCAAUGAAAUAAAAGAGGACGCAAAAAAGGAUGUGUUGUAUAUUUAGAAAACCCCAUCAAUGCACAGUAAGGCCAUUUUCACGAUAUUGAUUCUUCCUAUCCAUGAGCAUGGAUAGGAAUGAUUGUAUAUUUAGGAAAAAAAAAAAAAAAAAGCU
rnacentral:lncRNA from 1 species